rfam:Atta colombica isolate Treedump-2 unplaced genomic scaffold scaffold126, whole genome shotgun sequence.
AAAACGGCCCUUUUCAGGGCCACCAAUUAACUUAUAACAUUGGAUG